rnacentral:sRNA from 1 species
AGACCGUCACGUGUACCGGACAUGGU